GACGAACGCUGGCGGCGUGCCUAAUACAUGCAAGUCGAGCGAAUCGAUGGGAGCUUGCUCCCUGAGAUUAGCGGCGGACGGGUGAGUAACACGUGGGUAACCUGCCUGUAAGACUGGGAUAACUUCGGGAAACCGGAGCUAAUACCGGAUACUUUCUUUUCUCGCAUGAGGGAAGAUGGAAAGAUGGUUCUGCUAUCACUUACAGAUGGACCCGCGGCGCAUUAGCGAGUUGGUGAGGUAACGGCUCACCAAGGCAACGAUGCGUAGCCGACCUGAGAGGGUGAUCGGCCACACUGGGACUGAGACACGGCCCAGACUCCUACGGGAGGCAGCAGUAGGGAAUCUUCCGCAAUGGACGAAAGUCUGACGGAGCAACGCCGCGUGAGCGAAGAAGGCCUUCGGGUCGUAAAGCUCUGUUGUUAGGGAAGAACAAGUACGAGAGUAACUGCUCGUACCUUGACGGUACCUAACCAGAAAGCCACGGCUAACUACGUGCCAGCAGCCGCAGUAACAC
rnacentral:rRNA from 1 species